GAGAAAGUAAGCAAGGGCAGACGGUGGAUGCCUUGGCUCUCGGAGGCGACGAAGGACGUGAUAAGCUGCGAAAAGCUCGGGGGAGGCGCAAAUAGCCGUUGAUCCCGGGAUAUCCGAAUGGGGCAACCCGGCAGGUUGAAGGCCUGUCAUCCCGUAAGGGAGGCGAACGUGGGGAACUGAAACAUCUAAGUACCCAUAGGAGGAGAAAAUAAACAAUGAUUCCGUAAGUAGUGGCGAGCGAACACGGAAGAGCCCAAACCCAUGUCGUCUAGGCGACACGGGGGUUGUAGGACCACGACGUGGCAAGAAGGAAGGGAAAUGGAACGACUUGGAAAAGUCGGCCAUAGACGGUGAAAGCCCGGUACAUGACUCCCUUACGAAGCCUAGUGGUAUCCUGAGUAGCGCGGGGCACGAGAAAUCUUGCGUGAAUUAGCGGGGCCCAUCCCGUAAGGCUAAAUACUCCCGAGAGACCGAUAGCGAACCAGUACCGUGAGGGAAAGGUGAAAAGAACCCCGAGCAGGGGAGUGAAAUAGACCCUGAACCCGUCUGCCUACAAGCGGUCGGAGCAUCGUCAAGAUGUGACGGCGUGCCUUUUGCAUAAUGAACCUACGAGUUACCUUCCCCGGCAAGGUUAAGUACCUAAGGUACGGAGCCGAAGCGAAAGCGAGUCUGAAUAGGGCGGCCAGUCGGGGGGGUAGACGCGAAACCGAGUGAUCUACCCUUGGCCAGGUUGAAGGUUGGGUAACACCAACUGGAGGACCGGAUGGGUAAGCGUUGAAAAGCUUUCCAAUGAGCUGAGGGUAGGGGUGAAAGGCUAAUCAAACUCGGAGAUAGCUCGUACUCCCCGAAAUGCAUUUAGGUGCAGCCUCUUUAUAGUAUAUCGUGAGGUAGAGCGACUGAUUGGAUGCGAGGGCUUCACCGCCUAUCAAGUCCAGAUAAACUCCGAAUGCGCGAUAUAUAUUUAAAGGGAGUGAGGGCGCGGGUGCUAAGGUCCGUGUCCGAGAGGAGAAGAAUCCAGACCACCGGCUAAGGCCCCCAAAUGAUCGUUGAGUUGAACUAACGAGGUCGGAUCGCAGAGACAGCUAGGAUGUUGGCUUGGAAGCAGCCAUUCAUUUAAAGAGUGCGUAACAGCUCACUAGUCGAGCGAUCUGGCGUGGAUAAUAAUCGGGCAUAAACGAUCUGCCGAAGCCGUGGAUGUCGUAAGACAUGGUAGGGGAGCAUUCCAUGCGGCGUCGAAGAUGAGGGACGACCCUUGUUGGAGCGCAUGGAAAAGCAAAUGUAGGUAUGAGUAACGAUAAGGGGGGCGAGAACCCCCCGCCGAAAGACCAAGGUUUCCUGAUCAACGCUAAUCGGAUCAGGGUGAGUCGGGACCUAAGGCAAAGCCGAACGGCGACGCCGAUGGAAGAAUGGGUUAAUAUUCCCAUACUGCCUCAUGGAGUGACGUGGAGACGGAGAAGUGACAGUCCUGCCGGCUGACGGAAUAGCCGGUUGAAGGGUGUAGAUAUUGAUUCCCGUAGGCAAAUCCGCGGGGAGAGUCGAACCUGACAGUAUACCGAGUACUUGUACGAGGUAAUAUGGACGUAACCAUGCUCCCAAGAAAAUCCGCUAAACUUAUCCAUGCGGCACCCGUACCGUAAACGGACACACGUGGUCGGGUUGAGAAUACUGAGGCGCUCGAGUGAUUCACGGUUAAGGAACUAGGCAAAUUGACCCUGUAACUUCGGGAUAAAGGGUCCUCGUCGUAAGGCGAGGCGCAGAGAAUAGGUCCAGGCAACUGUUUAACAAAAACACAUGGCUAUGCUAAAUGGAAACAUGACGUAUAUAGCCUGACACCUGCCCGGUGCUGGAAGGUUAAGAGGAGAUGUCAUCGCAAGAGAAGCGUUGAAUUGAAGCCCCAGUAAACGGCGGCCGUAACUAUAACGGUCCUAAGGUAGCGAAAUUCCUUGUCGGGUAAGUUCCGACCUGCACGAAUGGUGUAAUGAUCUGGACACUGUCUCAACCGUGAGCUCGGUGAAAUUGUAGUAUCGGUGAAGAUGCCGAUUACCCGCGAUGGGACGAAAAGACCCCGUGAACCUUUACUAUAGCUUUACAUUGAAUUUGGGCAGACGAUGUGUAGGAUAGGCCGGAGGCUUUGAAGGGGGUACGCCAGUAUCCUUGGAGCCGCCGUUGAAAUACGGCCCUUCGGUUGUUUGAGUUCUAACUCCUAGGCAGGAGGACACUGUAUGGUGGGUAGUUUGACUGGGGUGGUCGCCUCCAAAAGCGUAACGGAGGCUUCUAAAGGUGCCCUCAGACCGAUUGGUAACCGGUCGUAGAGUGUAAUGGCAUAAGGGCGCUUGACUGGGAGAGAUACAACUCGAUCAGGUAGGAAACUAGAGCAUAGUGAUCCGGUGGUUCCGCAUGGAAGGGCCAUCGCUCAAAGGAUAAAAGGUACUCCGGGGAUAACAGGCUGAUCAUUCCCAAGAGCUCAUAUCGACGGAAUGGUUUGGCACCUCGAUGUCGGCUCGUCACAUCCUGGGGCUGGAGAAGGUCCCAAGGGUUGGGCUGUUCGCCCAUUAAAGUGGCACGCGAGCUGGGUUCAGAACGUCGUGAGACAGUUCGGUCUCUAUCUAUCGUGGGCGCAGGAGAUUUGAGGGGCUCUGACACUAGUACGAGAGGACCGUGUUGGACGUACCACUGGUUUACCGGUUGUCCCGCCAGGGGCACCGCCGGGUAUCUAAGUACGGAUCGGAUAAGUGCUGAAAGCAUCUAAGUACGAAGCCGGCCUCAAGAUUAGAUCUCCCUCAAGGGUGGUUAUAGACGAUGACCUUGAUAGGCCACAGGUGUAAGGGCGGCGACGUCCGAGCCGAGUGGUACUAAUUGCCCGGGACUUUCCUCA
rnacentral:rRNA from 1 species